AACGAUAAUAUAAAUACGCGGAAGAACACCCAUACACAGCCCUAGCCGGGGUGUAACUAAUCAUGAGCAUCUAUAAGUCAUAAUACAAUUCUGCUAAAUCCAUAACUAGUACAACUGUUUGAAAAAAAUAGAAGUGAUAAAUGAGUAGAGACACGGGGCUGCGGAUGUCCACAUCUACCUCGUAAUCUCCGAAAGCCCGCCUGAAACUAGAGGAAUUAGCACUCGGGAGCAGAACCAGCUACACCUGAAUCUGCACACGAGGUGCAGGGAGUAAAGUGAGUACUCCAACUCAGUGAGUAACAAAUGUAAAUAACAACUGAAAGUAAGAAAACACGUAAGGCACAAGACAUUCUAUAAUGAAUCAGUAAAACAGUGAAAAGUCAAGUAAAAUCCUCUUUCAACAAGUAAACAAGUAAUUGACAGGUAAUUAAGGUUAAGUAAACAAAUAGAAGUUCGCCCCUCGGGCACAAUAUCACCACAUCCGCCACUCAGGCAACAUCUCAGAACAAUAAUAGCCCCUCGGGCUCAAUCUCAUAUCACAUGGGUACCCACGUUCACUGAGGGUGUACAUACUCCUGGAGGGGCCCCUUACGGACCAAGCGCAAUAUCAAUCCAUCUCGUGGCAUCAAAACUAGGCCCCCGGCCUCAUAUCAAUCAAGCCACCUUGUGGCAUACAUAUCUCAGGCCCUCGGCCUCAAAUCAGUAUCAGUGUUUCCUCACAACAUAGGCCCUCGGCCUUACUCAGUCAAAAAUUAUCACAAGCCUCUCGGGCAAUAGUAAAACAGUGUUCUUCAGCUCAAACAUCAUUUAAAAUAUCAUAUAAGUCUUAAAAACUGGAUAAAUAUGGUUGAGUAGUAAAACAGUGGAAAAUAACAUGACUGAGUUCAAGUAAUAAGUCAAAACAUUGAGGAAACAAUAAUAACAAUCCUCGAAGGGUUCAAAUAGUUGGCACGAAGCCCAAAUAUGGCAUUCAGCCCAAAUCAUGAUGAUAGAAAAUAAGUUUCAGUCAAAUACGCGAUAAAAUCAUCAACCGGGACGGACUAAGUCACAAUCCCCAAUAGUGCACGACCCCACGCUCGUCAUCAAGCGUGUGUCUCACCUCAAUAUAGCACUACGAUGUGCAAUCCAGGGUUUCAAACCCUCAGAAUAUCAUUUACAAUCAUUACUCACCUCGAACCGGCUAAAUAUCUAGCUCGCGACGCCUUUGCCCCUCGAAUUGGCCUCCACGCGCGUCGAAUCUAUCCAAAAUAGAACGAGGACGUCAAAAUAUGCUAGGAAACAAAGCCCAAGCGAAAACAAUCAAUAAAGGCACAAAUCCCGAAAUUUCCAAAACCCGACCCCCAAUCCCACGUCUCGAAAUUCAGAAAUUUUUACACCAAUAGAUUCCUUAUCUUCCCACGAGUUCAUACAUAUUAAAAAUUCUCAAAUCCGACCUCAAAUGGUCCCCCAAAUCCCCAAUCAAAAGUCCAAAUUUUCAAGCCCUAGUUCUUCAAUUUUUAGCUUAAUUUCCAUAAUUUUCUAGGUGGAAUUCACAUAAUAAUCGAGUUUUAAGUCCAAGAAUCUUACCUCUCAACGAUUCUCCUUGAAUCCCUCUUCAAUCUCCUUCAAAAAUCUCCAAAAACAAUCAACUAUGGAGGAAAUAAACCCAAUCCUCACGGACAAGACGAGUUUUAAAACCUUCUGUCCAGGCAUAAAUUCCUUCUUCGCGAACGCGAUCAAAACCUCGCGUUCGCGAAGCACAAAAAUAACGUUGACCAAAAUCCUCUUUCACAAAUGCGACACAACCACCACGAAUGCGAUGCUUUACCUAGACGAACCUUCGCGAACUCGUUCCAUCCAUCGCGAAUGCGAUGGGUUAAUUCCACUAAAGCUCAGCCUCUCAAUUCCUUUUACGCGAAUGCAACUACACGCCCGCGAACGUGAUGCACAAGCUCGCAGCCCUUCGCGAACGCGUAACCUGCCCCGCGAACGCGAAGGGUAAAUACCUGCAACUGUUGAACCUGCAAUUUCUGCAACUUCCUUAACUUCAAAAUGAUCCGAUUGACCACCUGAAACUCACCCGAUGCACCCGGGACCUCAGCCAAAGGCACAAACACAUCCUAAUAUUUUAUUCAAACUUAUUCCAAUCAUCAAAACACCUCAAAUAACAUCAAAUCACCCAAAACACAUCGGAUUCAAGCCAAAUUUUCUAAAAUCUUCCGAAUUACGCUUUUGAUCGAAAACCUAACCAAACCACGUCUGAAUGACCUGGAAUUUUUCACACACAUUCCAAAUGACACAACGGAACUACUGCAACUCUCGGAAUUCCAUUCUGACCCCUAUAUCAAAAUCUCGCCUAUCGAUCGGAAAUCGCCAAAAUAUCAACUUCACCAAUUCAAGCCUAAAUCUACUCCGAACCUCCAAAACUCAUUCUGAUCACUCUCCUAAGUCACAAAUCACCUCUCGAAGUUAACCGAACCAUCGGAAUUCACUUCCGAUCCCUCUAACACAUAAGUCAACAUCCGAUUGACUUUUUCAACUUAAGCUCCCUCAAAAGAGACUAAGUGUCUCAAACCUUACAAAAUUCCUUUCGGAUUCGAUCCGGCCAAGCCAAUAUCACAUAAAACGGAUAUACAAAGCAUAAAGAAGCAAAAAUGGGAAAAACGGAGCGGUACCUUAUGAGACGACUGGUCGGGUCGUUACAGUUGUACUUGGAGAAUUCUUGCUUCAAGAGAGGACAAUCUUUGAUGAAAUGUCAAGGCUUUCCACACUUAUGACAGAGAUCAUAGUUUUUUAGUUUGCUAGAGCUGCCCCUUUUUAGCAUUUCUCCAUUUCUUCUGACCAUCUUCUGAAAUCUUUUGGUUAAGUAAGCCAUGUCACUGUCUUCCUCACCUCAGUCAUUGCUAUCAGCUUUGAGUACCAGAUUCUUUUCUUUCUUUGGUUCUCUUCUUUUAUUGUCUAUCUUCCUCUUCAUCUCGUAGGUCUUCCUCUUCAUCUCGUAGGUCUUCAGAUUUCCAAUCAGCUCUUCUAUGGUCAGCUCUUGCAAGUCCUUUGAUUCAGUAUUAGCAUUCACCUUGCUUUCCCAAGGGCUAGGCAGAAUACUGAGGAUUUUCCUCACUAGUUUGUUCCUAGGAAUGGUUUCACCAAGUGAGUGUAACUCAUUUAUGAUGGAAGUAAAUCUUGUGUGCAUAUCUUGAAUAGAUUCAUCGUCAUUCAUCCUGAAGAUUUCAAACUCGGUAGUGAGCAUAUCGAUCUUAGAUUGUUUUACUUGGGUGGUUCCCUCAUGAGCUGUUUGCAAAACUUCCCAUAUCUCCUUAGCAGUGUCACAAGCGGAGAUUCUAUUGUAUUCUUCAUGUCCUAUUCCACAUACCAGAAUCUUCUUGGCACGAAAAUUCUUCUCCACCACUUUUUUGUCUGCGCCGGUGUAUUCUUUACUGGUUUUUGGCAUUGAGAAUGGAAGUUCUUCCGGUAGCUUUGUUGGAACAUAAGGACCGUCACAUAUGACAUUCCAUAAUUCAGAAUUCUCAGCCAUGAUAAAAUCCUUAGACAUAUCUCUACUUUCCCACUUUAGGUGAUUGAGACACAAAAUUUUAAAAAAUUCUUUUUAAAAAAAAAUUAUGUUCUAAAAUAAAUAUAGAUAUAUGUAUAAUUAUAAAUUAUCUCAUUAAGCGUAAAAUAAAAAAAUUUAAUAUUAAAUUAUUUCUAGAGAUGAAAAAAUAUCAAUCUUUUUUAAAAAGGUUUAAAAAGAAAGUGCAUCAGAUAGAAAAGGAAUACUAUAAUUUAUUUAUUUUCCUAGAUCAACAUGUGAUAUGAAUGUGGUGACUCACAAAGACAAGAUAAUGAUUCUUUCUUUUUCUCUUUGCUACUUUUUUUUCCCUCCAUAUUCUUUCACAUCAACGUGUGGUUUGCAUGUUUGUGGGGUUCGAGAAUAAUGUGCUUGUUUUUCUUCUUUCUCCAUUUGCUUCUCUGAGUUAAAUUUUUUAUGACGAAACAAAAUUUUACAUAUAAAGUUGAUUUACAAAUAAAGUUAUCUUCUAAGAUAUAAAGAUUGGUAACAUAUUAUUAGGGAUGGCAAUGGUGUGGGGCGGGUCGGUUUUACUCUUAUGCGGGUAGGGGCGGGGCGGGACGGAUAAUUUUAAAAAAUUUCAAGGCGGGGCGGUUUUACUCUUAUGCGGGUAGGGGCGGGUCGGGACGGAUAAUUUUAAAAAAAUUCAAAGCGGGGCGGGGCAGGUUGCAACUUGCGGGUUUAAUGCGGAUUGAAUGCGAGGCAACUUUGAAUUUUAUCUAUUUUAAAACAAACAAUCAUUUUAAUUUCAAUUUCACAUUCUUCUUCACUAGCAUAAAUAUUAUUUUGAUUUAUAAUUAAUCAAUUUGCAUAAGUCUCACCAACAUGAUAUAUUGGGAUUCAAAUGUAUGAUUUUCUUUUGCCACGGAACUGACCCGCAGGAACAUUAAAGAAAAAUUUUCACUUAUUCUUACACUAACAUUUCCUUACUAUAAGUCUACAGAAAACCUUUAUAGAUAGCUUUUAAUGAGAAAGUAGAGACCAUAAGAAAAUUUUCAAAAUGAUAAUUUAAUCAAGUGAUCAAAUGUAUAAUUGGAACUGUUUAAAAUUAUAUUUUUAGAACUGUUUUUAAAAUAAAUAUCCUCAAAUUGUAACUACAAAACAUAAUUUUUGCAAAAAGAAUUAAUAUACUAGUAACUUUUAAAAAACUUAAACAAACACCAAUUUGAAAAUUUUCUAAAGCAAAGUAUUGAAAAUUCAUGGACGAUAUGCCAGGCGUUAAACGUCCAUGAAUUGCUCAAAUUCAAAAAAAGAAUUGUUAGCACAAAGUGCGCCGUUCCACACACUGUCAAACUAGUUUGUUUUAAAAAAUAUUAAAGAAAAAAGAAAAAAAAUUAAGUGGGGCGGGGGUUGAAAUUUUUUUGUGGGUUUUGUCAAUCCUGCCCCGCAGCCCCCUCCCCCGCUCCAUUAUCAUCCCUACAUAAUAUCCAUAAUAUAGUAUGGGAGUAUAUGGAAGUUGUGGUUGUGAUGGUUACAACAACAACGUAGUAUAAUUUUAGGAGGAUAGUGUGUACGCAGCUUUACCAUGAAGGAAGAGAUGUUGUUUCCGAUAGAACUCCCGCGCACGCAAAGCACAAUUAUAACAGUUCUAAAAGGAAAUAUAGCAGUGAAAAAAGACAUAAAAGAGAAUAGUAUCAUUAUCAAGAUAAUAAGAUAACAGAAGCAAUAGAAGUAACAUGUAAUAGUAGAAAUCUAAGGGUAAGAGAAUACAAGAAUAAUACUUAAGCUACUAGUACGGCAGAGAGAAAUGCUCGAUUACCUACUAGUCUUUUACCCUGAUUCUCGUCCUCCACACCUUGUUAUCAAGGUCAUGGCCUCACUAUAGUAGAGAUGUGUCAUAUUAAUUAGAGCAAAUAACAUGAAAAUCACAUAAUCAUAGCAGAAAUGACUGGCAACUCUACAUGAU
rnacentral:lncRNA from 1 species